rnacentral:rRNA from 1 species
AUGUUUGGAUGCCAGAGCUCGUUCGCGACAUCGGUGGCGGCACACUUUAGGGCUGUGGUGCUGCCGGCCAUCGGCACGUGCGGCGGAGCUGCCAUUCUGUGGAACAGAGAUGUAGUCUUCGUAGACACCCAAGCCAUUGGGCAAUUUGCACUCACGACAAAGAUCACACUCGUCUGCAACCCCACUUCAUUCUGGCUCACCACGGUCUACGGACCGGCCGAUGAUACGAGCAAAUAUGAUUUCCUCGCCGAGCUCGCCAGAACUGCACCACCUGCCACCUAGCCCUGGCACAUCAAUGGCGAUUUCGACCUAAUCUACGAGGCGAGAGACAAAAACAACCACAAUCUAAAUAGGAGGCUCAUGGGCCAUUUUAGAAUGGCGAUCGACGGAGCAGGACUUCGCCAUAUCAAGUGUAACAAUCGUAGGUUCACGUGGAGCAGCGAGAGGGAAAAUCCUACCCUAGUUAGCAUUGAUAAGUUCUUCUGCUCCUCGCCCUGGGAAGCCCUGUUCUCGCACGCGCUCCUGAUGGUGGCGUUCACAGCGUGCUCCGAUCACUGCCCGCUAUUGCUUGCGGAUACGUCUGCGCCUCGUCGACGGGGAGGAUUCAAAUUCGAAUCCUUCUAG